rnacentral:rRNA from 1 species
GACGAACGCUGGCGGCGUGCCUAAUACAUGCAAGUAGAACGCAGUUGCGCACGGGUGAGUAACGCGUAUGUAACCUCCCCAUAGCGGGGGGUUAAUAUUGGGAACGCUAGCUAAUAACCGCUACUGUGAGAUAGACCUGAGUUGUAUUUGGUUGUUGGUGGGGUCAAGGGUCACCAAGGCGACGAUACAUAGCCGACCUGGGAGGGUGAACGGCCAAACUGGGACUUGGAAAAGGGCCAGACUCCUACCGGAGGCAGCAGGAGGGAAACUUCGGCAAUGGAGGGAAGUCCGACCGAGCAACGCCGCGGGAGUUAAGAAGGUUUUUGGAUCGUAAAGGUCUGUUGGUAGAGAAGCGGUAACUACCGAGAAAGGGCCGGCUAACUACGUGCCAGCAGCCGCGGUAAUAC